GAAUUGUUUUGAUCUGCAUUAUAAGAGCAGGUAAGAGCAGCAACUUGAGGGCUCUCUGAUAUGAAUGCUAAAGAUGGCAGAUCCCCAAGAGUAAGGGCAAACCUGUGAUUUAAUAAACCUUGAAGUUCAGGCAUGAGCAACUUUGAAGCAGUCACACAUCUGUACCGUCAAGGACAUGUUCACAAGAGCUCUGCUGAAACAGCCAAUUGGACAAUUUCUAAGUAAAGAAUUCUAAAAAUGGAAAAUUCUCCUUCCAGUCAAAGUUGAGGACUUCUUAAACGGUGCAUUUGAUCUCAUCCCUUGCUGGCUACCCAGUGGAGUGUACAAGGGAGAGCUUGCUCUGAUGGCUUGGGUUGGAGAGCUGACAGACUGACCAACUCAGCUAUCACCUAGGCCUAGAUCUGGGACUUUGUGAUGGCCCAGCCCAACUUCUACCCUAUCUGUGAGCUGUUGGAGCCAGUGAAGGGGUAGGUCCUAGGGGUCCAUAGCCACAGAAUCUCCACAACACAGGAGAACAGAUAUCAUAUAUCAUAUCUUAUAACCAUAUAUAUCAAUCAUAUAUCAUAUAACAUAUCAUACUUAAAUGAUAUAUAUGAUCUAUAGAAAUAUUGUCAGUAGGAGAAAAAUUAAAUAAAUAACUG
rnacentral:lncRNA from 1 species